GAUGAACGCUGGCGGCGUGCCUAAUACAUGCAAGUCGAGCGAACGGACGAGAAGCUUGCUUCUCUGAUGUUAGCGGCGGACGGGUGAGUAACACGUGGAUAACCUACCUAUAAGACUGGGAUAACUUCGGGAAACCGUAGCUUAUACCGGAUAAUCUUUUGAACCGCAUGGGUCAUAAGUGAAAGACGGUCUUGCUGUCACUUAUAGAUGGAUCCGCGCUGCAUUAGCUAGUUGGUAAGGUAACGGCUUACCAAGGCAACGAUGCAUAGCCGACCUGAGAGGGUGAUCGGCCACACUGGAACUGAGACACGGUCAAGACUCCUACGGGAGGCAGCAGUAGGGAAUCUUCCGCAGUGGGCGAGAGCCUGACGGAGCAACGCCGCGUGAGUGAUGAAGGUCUUCGGAUCGUAAAACUCUGUUAUGAGGGAAGAACAUAUGUGUAAGUAACUGUGCACAUCUUGACGGUACCUAAUCAGAAAGCCACGGCUAACUACGUG
rnacentral:rRNA from 1 species